UAUAAGUGAAUGAGAGAUGCAGUGUGCAGUGAACAGAACUGACUGACAGCUCCAGUGAUUCACUUUCCGCACAUCUGUGUAUUUCUGGAACAGGUUCGGUGGGCGGCUGCGAUGCUGACCGUGAUCGAUGUGUUUAGGUGCGACACAGUGACGUCUGAGAUUCCUCACAACACGUCUGGCAGCGGACCUCAACACACGAACGAGCGUUUACACUAAACAUGUGGUGUGAUCACGUGUGUUUCUGUGCUUUCAGUGAUCUGAUCCAAUCACAAAACUGACUUUGACCUUUUCAAAGCUAUAUUUCUUGCGAGAAGGAUUGAAGGACAGAAGGAUUGUGUGGUCUUCAUUUAUCUCAGAACAUUCAACUCAGGCUGCAAAAUCACACGCAGAAUUCGGAAAUCAAGAGAAAGCAUUAUAAAUCAGCCUCACAGUGGACACACAUCAACACAAUUACUCUUACUUCACAUUAUAAGCAGACACUGAUAUGAAGCACAUCUCAAGAAUCUAAAGCUACUAGCAUGUUCUAAGACUGAAUCAUGGUGACGUCGUGCUGGACGCUGGUGACGGUGCUGCCGAUGCUGGCCACGCUCUAUAUAUAUACAC